GCGUAGGCGAAAUUUGAAUAACGAGCCAAAAUGUCGGCGAUGACUCAUUGGUGUGGAAUCAACUAGUCACGUGGGUUCUUUGUGGCCAAUCCUGACGGAGUGUUUAUCGUUGAGUCGUUGUGAUGGCUGUUGUGAGGCCGUGAACAAGAUCCGAUCGGACAUCCUUUACAUGCACCAGGUGCAACGAAUAGAGGAAGGAUUUUCAGUAUUCUAUAACAGUGCUUAAUAUAGUACACUAGUGGAAGUGAAAUUUCCAUAGGACGUGGGUUGCUCAAGGUGGAUUUCUGUAUCAGCUGUUUUGGUCGUCUUUCAGCUGGUUGCGUUGCAAAAAUGUGGGCCCAUGGUUUUGAAGAACAGCAAGACUGACAGCAAAAGAUGAAGCAGAGAAAACUUCGGAAUCCAUGUUUUAUUUUGAUUUUCAGGCAUUUUUAUUUCAGAGUACCAAGAUAGUUUGAAACCAUGCCUGCCCUGACAGCCAAUUCCGUCACACUAGAUGAGAUUC